rnacentral:rRNA from 1 species
AACGAACGCUGGCGGCGUGCUUAACACAUGCAAGUCGCGCACGGCGGACGGGUGCGUAACUCGUGGGAAUCUGCCCUCCGAUGGGGAAUAACCCCGCGAAAGCGGGGCUAAUACCGCAUAUCGGAGGGGGGGCCCGCGCCCGCUUAGCUGGUUGGUAGGGGAACGGCCUACCAAGGAAAUGAUCGGUAGCUGGUCUGAGAGGAUGAUCAGCCACACUGGAACGGAGCCACGGUCCAGACGCCUACGGGAGGCAGCAGUGGGGAAUAUUGGACAAGGGGCGCAAGCCUGAUGCAGCCAUGCCGCGGGUAUGAAGAAGGCCUUCGGGUUGUAAAGUACUUUCAGCGGGGAGGCGUUACCCGCAGAAGAAGCACCGGCUAACUCCGUGCCAGCAGCCGCGGUAAUUC